rnacentral:rRNA from 1 species
UACGUAGGUGGCAAGCGUUGUCCGGAUUUAUUGGGUUUACAGGGUGCGUAGGCGGCCCUGUAAGUCAGUGCUGAAAUAUCCCGGCUUAACCGGGAGGGUGGCAUUGAUACUGCGGGGCUAGAGUACAGAUGAGGUAGGCGGAAUUGACGGUGUAGCGGUGAAAUGCUUAGAUAUCGUCAAGAACACCUAUAGCGAAGGCAGCUUACUAGGCUGUAACUGACGCUGAGGCACGAAAGUGUGGGGAUCAAACAGG